GCCAGGCGCAGUGGCGCCUGCCUGUGAUCCCAGUAGCUUGGGAGGCUGAGGCAGGAGGAUCUCAACUUCAAAGCCAGCCUCAGCAACUUAGUGAGGCCCUAAGUAACUCAGCGAGACCCUGUCUCUA
rnacentral:sRNA from 1 species